CCUGACUGCUAUCGGAUUGAUACUAAGCCAUGCGAGUCAUUGUAGUAAUACAAGGCAGACGGCUCAGUAACGCGUAGUCAACCUACCCUAUGGACGAGGAUAAUCUCGGGAAACUGAGGAUAAUACUCGAUAGACCAUUAUGCCUGGAACGGUUUAUGGUUAAAAUGAUUCGUCGCCAUAGGAUGGGACUGCGGCCUAUCAGCUUGUUGGUGAGGUAAUGGCCCACCAAGGCGAUUACAGGUACGGGCUCUGAGAGGAGAAGCCCGGAGAUGGGUACUGAGACACAGACCCAGGCCCUAUGGGGCGCAGCAGGCGAGAAAACUUUGCAAUGUGCGAAAGCACGACAAGGUUAAUCCGAGUGAUUUCUGCUAAAGAAAUCUUUUGCCAGUCGUAAAAGCGCUGGUGAAUAAGGGGUGGGCAAGUUCUGGUGUCAGCCGCCGCGGUAAAACCAGCACCUCAAGUGGUCAGGAUGAUUAUUGGGCCUAAAGCAUCCGUAGCCGGCUUUGUAAGUUUUCGGUUAAAUCCAUGUGCUCAACGCAUGGGCUGCCGAAAAUACUGCAUAGCUAGGGAGUGGGAGAGGUAGACGGUACUCGGUAGGAAGGGGUAAAAUCCUUUGAUCUAUCGAUGACCACCUGUGGCGAAGGCGGUCUACCAGAACACGUUCGACGGUGAGGGAUGAAAGCUGGGGGAGCAAACCGGAUUAGAUACCCGGGUAGUCCCAGCUGUAAACGAUGCAGACUCGAUGAUGCAUUGGCAUAUAGCCAGUGCAGUGUCGCAGGGAAGCCGUUAAGUCUGCCGCCUGGGAAGUACGUACGCAAGUAUGAAACUUAAAGGAAUUGGCGGGGGAGCACCACAAGGGGUGAAGCCUGCGGUUC
rnacentral:rRNA from 1 species